ensembl:lncRNA
CUGCAAACGAAUGUUGCAUGUUGAAGAUUGCCAGGAUAUUUGCAAAAAGGAUAAUAGAGAUCUGGACAAAACACACAUAAUAGUAUCUGAUACAUGGAAACAGAUAUGUUUGUGGAGAGAGAAAUAAAAGGGAAAUACUGAUCCAAAAUCCUAUCCGUACAUGAUGCUUUUGUUUCAGUUUUGUAAAAUUUGUGCCUUCUCAUGUCUGGGCACACCUAGCGAGAAAAUAUCAAAGAAAUUCAACAAUUUUCUGGCUUGAUUAUCGAAAAUGCUAUGUUGAAAGAACCUAUGAGGUGAGGCACAGCAAGACGGACAGUGUGCCUACAUCUUUCAAGUUUACAACUGUCAAAUUUGUUAAACUAUGCUAUUUUUAGUGAAAUUACAAUUUGGAACUGGCACAUUGAUUCCACACAGUUGGAGCCUGCUUCAAUGCCAGUGAACAUACUUUGAUUUAUUGCUCUUUUAUUCAGGUCAGGAACCAUAACCUUGGGUGCAGCCAACUCAUCGGUCUCUGUGCUUGAGACAAGAGGUGAAUAUGGCCUUUAGAAUUAAAACAGUUUAUGCUAUGAGGGAGAAGAUGACCUGAAACAAAUUUUCUGUAAUUAGCUAUAACUAAAUUUGCCUGCAACUUAAUGAAACAGAAAACAGGAUAGGAAAAGAGAGUUGGUUAUUAUUAAGGAAAAUGAAAUCUGGAAGUUGAGAAUGAGCUUAAAUAAAAAAAAAAAAAAAUAAAAUAAAAAAAAGAAAACAGAUAACCACCAAGAUAAUCAUUUCUUAGAUAAAUGGGGACUGGAAGAAUUUUAAGGAGGUUUCACUAGAAACACCGUAAGUAUCUUGAAGUAAGACCAGAAAACAAUAAACAUCUGACAAUAUUUAAUUUCUCUCAUCCAUUCAACCUCAGUUCAAAUGUUACUUGUGCAUUCUCUAUACUUUGAUCAAUAAUGUACCAGUAUGUGAAGAACAAGCAACAUCAUCCGCACUCAAACAAAGAAAAGAAAACACAGUAAAGUUGAGGGAGGUGCUAAGAAGGAGAAGAGACAUGGUCCUUGAAAUGCCCUUUCUCAAAAUUAGGAGGAGAAAGAUGGCAGUUACACAAGAAAAAUUAGAAAUGUAAGCAUCCAUUGCUUCCUUCAAAACCAACACAUUUCAUUUGAAUCUUCUGAAGACCUGUGUAAUAACAGGAGGCAUUUACUGCACUGUGCUGAGUACAAGAACUGUCUCCAUUAGUGCUACUAGGAGACAAUGAAAGGAAAUUCAACCUUUUUUGCAACCUGACAAAUCACUAACAGUCCCUCUCAGUCUGAUGGUGGCUAUGUUUGAAAAGCCUAAUGUUAUGACAGAUGUCAAGGAGAAGCAUAUAAAAAAAAAAGGCAAUCUUAAAACAAAAUCCAUGAAAAUAUGUAACUUGUAAACCUGGCACUAUUCCUUUAAAGUGAAAACAAUUAAGCACCAUUUUAAGCAAAGUAGCCAGAGGGAAUGACAGAAAUCAAAUAUUUUUAUUUCCAGAUUAAGUAACAUUAAGAGAAGAAAAACACAAAACACAAAGAAUAAAAAGGAUUGGUUCUGCAUUGCUAAACCAUAAGGGACAAAAAACAGUGUUGGCAUAACAUUUUUCAUUAACUACAGUAAAAGCAAAACGUACAUAUCAGUGUUACACAUCCUCUUCUUGCCUAAGGCUCUGAUUAAGUUCCCCAAACUUCUUUUGCUCUACAGCUUUUAAUGCACCACCACAUAUUUUUCUGCUAUCAUUGAACAUGUCAGAGAAAUAUCUCUGCAGCACACUAAAUCUAGGUUAAGAAUCAUGGAAACAACAAAUUUUUUUUCUUACUUGAGAUAUAAAAGCGGCGAUGGUAAGGGAUUUUUUCUAGUUAACUACAUCCGUAUCUGAGAAAUAACAGCCAUGGUUUUGUUACAGCCACAAGUACUCAGGUUACCCAAAGUAAUUGGUGGGUAAUGGCCGCUUGGAGAAUUUAUUUUGCAUAAGAAACCGUCCUGAUACGAAUUGGUACAAGUGGCAUGGCCUCUUCCCAUAUAAAUUCCUUUCAAUUUCUGGUAUAUGCUAUAUGUGCUUAAGGGAAUACAGCAGAGGAAUAUGCAGUCUCUGGAAAUUUACUGAACCACAAUAAGAAAGAAUAGUUCCUUAAUUUUUCACCUCACUGCAUCUCCGAACUGUACAACACUUCCUUGACAGAAUUCCCUUUUCUUUACAAAAGGCCAUAACAUUUGCAGUCCACAAUAACUGCUGGGUUGUGACAUCAGUCUUUGUGAAGGCAGGAAAACAGUACUCCUGACACAGACAUCCAGACUGGUGAAGACUGAACAGUUACUGGUUCACCUAUUUGGAUAACAACAUAUGUGCAUACAUUCAGGUGCUCAUAACUUCUCCCUCCUCUUGUUUCUAAAACAGGAUUUUUUUCUUCCAUGUUGUUUAGGAUCCACAGAGGGGAAAGGAAAGCCGUAUAAUGAGAUGCAGUAGAGUGCACAUAGAAAAAAUAUAGAGUAUAUAGAUAAUAUGGAUGUAAUAAAAGAAUAAAAACUGCUAACAAACUUCCCUUUGCAAGCAAGAUUUCCACUGUGCAACACACAAAUAGAACAGUACCUACUUCACCCUCUCCAGCCUCAUGAACUUUUGGGAAGUGGGAUAAUAUUUCAGUAUUAAUAAAAUAAGAUCAGCUGUUAAACUGAUACAGAAAUCAUCUUUGGGCACUAGCAAGCCAAAUUUUCCUUGCAGCAUGAAGGAAGAAAUUUUCAUCAGUUUAAAAAUGAUGUUUUGUGUAUUUGACUUACACAGAUACUCCCUUCACAAAGAUACAUGCUUCCUAACUGAGGAGCAAACUGCAUCUAAAAUUUCCUCCUCCUCCUCCACAGGACAUUACAGAGCAGCUGCAAAAACUGGGUUUAUCAAGUUCACAUACAAAUAGCCACCUUGGAGGAAAGAUGGCACAUGGAUCUCCUCCCUCAGCUCCUCUCAGCAACCCAGAGGUUGCCUGCAGUACUGGGACAGCUGCUGAUAGGUGGGCAGCUGAUGAAUGACACAUGCUUAGAGGAGAAAUCCAUGGAAAGAUAGGAAUGAUCUGCAUUUUUCACCAAAUUAAAACUAAGGGGAAAAAAAAGACGCAUCAACUACCGAAUGCUGAAAUCUAACUGAACUGCUGAGCAUACCCUUUAAGUGAUAUUUCUAUAAACAGCUUGGAAAGCCAAUAAGGCACGCGAGAAAAUUUAUUAUUAUUUUAGACUUUUGCAGACAAACUUGUUCUAAAGGCAUUUACAUAGGUGUGGAGAUUGAUGUAAGAAUACUGAGCCGUGCACUUCGUUUUAUAUUUCAAACCUUGACUGACUUUUUCAGGCACCAUUAAUAUCUCCUUUAUGUACUGAGGUUUGCGUGAAGCAAAUGUACAAUCUGUGCGCAUUGUCAGACUUAAAACCAUUGAGAUAAUGCCUUGGGAGAGAGGUCCACAAAUAAGCGGUCACUCCUACCAGCAAUAAGGUUUAUGCUUAAGUGAGGUUUCUACUCUGCACCCCUCCCUGCAGAAGCAGAGGACCAAACACAAUUGUGCUUGUAGUGAUCAAAAAGAAGUAUAGGCAUUUUCAGCAUUUUUAUGCAAGCAACCCAGUUAGCUCUUAAAUGAAUGAACCCAAGAAAUUCGUGCAUGGUACAAGGAGCUCCAUCAUCUGACACAGCUGCAUUGAUAUCCAGGUUAGAACUCCAGAACUAAAUAUUUGCAUUAUAUCUGUGAUAUUAGAUCCUCACCAAGCCUCCUGGAGGCUGAAAAUUAUUAUGUUGUUAUAUUUAUUCAUAUCUCUGUAUUGCCAAAAUCUGCCUGGAAACAAUGCGGAGACCCAAUGUAACAAAAAAAAAAUCUGCAUUUCAAACCCAAUCCAAAGCUUUUUUUGGAGGUUAACAUCAGGGGUUUUUCAACAAAUGGAGUACUAAGGAGGUUCAGACUGCCUGAAAAGAGUAAGUCAAAGCAAAAUACCAACAUUUUUGUUGUACCAUGUAUCACAAUUACUGUUAAUAUACUGCAUUUGAUUUAGUUCCAGUUUCACAUUUCCACUGACAGUCUCCAUAAAAUCAGUGAAAAUUUAGUUACUGGAUUUCUCAUGCCAAUCUCCUGAGUGCAGAAAAACUUUUAGACUAUGUCUAGAAAAAGAUCAUUUAAUAUUGCCAGUAAAACAUCUCAUGCAGAGGCUAGUAAAUAAAACAGUUUCUCUUAUCUAAUUCUAAUGUACUACAUAAUGUGUGAAAUCAUUCCUUGGCAGACAAGCUGAAGGAAUUGGGUGGUUGUUUUCUGUCUUCCUCACUGUCUCCUUCCUUCAGCAGUUUCUCAAUUCUGUAUUUGCCAUGGAACACAGAAAUGACUCAACUUUUUCACCUGAUAAAAUCAGAUUUUUAGCUAUUUUAACUCAAAGAAAUUCAAAACCAGUUGUUUCUUAUAAUCACUUAAGGAAUGAGCUAGCUUGAACAAUUAUACUUCACAAAAACAUUUUCAGUCAUCUUCUAUCAGGGAGAAUGGAUCAUUAUUUGCAUUGUGAAGAAUAUUGUGGCAACCUUCCAGCAGCUGGAAGUGGCUGAAAAGGCUGAGGAACUCCACAGUGCGCUUCAUCACAAGGCAUUAUGUGACACCGCUGUGUGAGGGUAGAAACAGCAAACGUAACCUUCAGGAAAUGUCCUCAUUUGUAAUAUCUGGAAACUGGAUGUAACUCUCAGCACUUGUGUUUCAGAGAGAGUAAUUUGCUGCGGAACAGGCAAAGAGCAAACCUACUGGGAUGGUGAGAAUGGGGAGUCUGUCUGAGCCUGAUUUGUUUAGCUUUCCAAAAUGAAAGCUGCAAGUUCUUAUGAGUGCUAUCCAUAAAUGCACCUGGAGAAAACAUAUUCAGUCUGAAAAAUAACACUGAAUCAGGAAGCAGUGUACAUGAAGUAGCCAUGAUUAAGUUGCAGCUGAAAAGUCACAGGAUGGAGUACUGCCUGUGGUGCAUCAGGAUUCUGUAACUCUCUCCCAUUACCAAUUGGACAAAAUGUUUGACUCAUUUGAGAAGUGAGCUUUAUUAAAUCAUCUAGUCACUUGUACAAUCCAGAAGUCUGGAUUCAUUAACCUUGAAGUGGCAUUUUCUAUCUGGUCCAACACACAUCUGUUUGUGCAGCAUGUGCCAGACCAAGCAUUUCAUGUUCUCAGUUUGAGAAUGAUUUUUACUUACAAGCCACACAUUUUUUCUUUUUAACUGAAUUAAGGCACUACGGGGACACACAGGUUUAAGAUUACAGGGAACGAUGAAUGGUGAAUUAUACCUCAGGCUACCAAUACAAAACCACUGGAAGAAAACUUCACUUUUCAAUCUCAAGCCUUGCAGAAUGUCCCAAGUUUUUCCCCCUUCAAUUUCCUUGAGUCUCCUUUCCAUCUUUGUUCCCUCUUAACUAGCUCUAACAUCCCACUCGCAGACAGUCCACGUGUCUACAACUCACUGGUAGACAUUAUAUUCUCAAUAUUUUAUUACAGCUAUUAAAAGCCAUCACAGGAUUGGUUUGUUUCUAAGUUUCCAUCAUUUCCUAUUUUAAUUAUGGAUUGUUUAGCUGAACAAAGCCAUAUUAAAUGAAAAGCACGGUGAAGGAGUAGAGGAAGAACUUUACAAUCACAGCUGACAGCUUAGCUAUUUAUGCUGUAAAUGCAUCAUAAAUAAUUUCUGAGGACUUCAUACAUUUCUGUACAUGGUCUGUAGCAGGCUCAUAAAUAGAUUGAUAAACGUAUAUUAACCAGUGAUAUCCAAACCUCAAAGUAAAGCACUGGCACAGCCUUCUCUCAAAAGCAUCAUGCUUGUUAUAACCUCCAUAGACUCGUUCUUUGUAAGCAGACAUAAUGAAUAUAGGGAACAUUUUCAAAAUGAGAAUUAUCAGAUCAACUUCUCUUACUAAGUAUCUCAAAUACCUGAGAAGAAUCAAAUUUCCAGAGACUCUCAACUCAGUCAGAAGCACACACCAUGUCAGCUUUCACCAUAAAUCUGAGAGCAGUGUACAGCAUGUAUGUCAGCAACUUAACAGCACCCUCUCCCUACAUUAAAAAGAAAUUUGCAAAAACUAAAAAAAUCUGUUUUCCAAAAUGAUAUUUUGGUGAACAAGUCUUAAUUAACCCCAUGUAAAUAUAUUUGCCAUUUUAGUUUCUAUAUUCUAAAACUUCUUAUCUUAUCCCAUACAUUUCUGAUGCCCCAUGACCUCCUCAUCUGCCUUAUGUCUGCAAUAGGACAUACUUAACUUCUCUACAGCCAUGUAUGUACUAUGUAUAAAGGGAUAAUAAAAAUUUAGAAUUUAUAAACUUAGAUAUUUUUUUCCAGAAAUAGAGUCAGUGACAUAACACAACAAUGUACAAGGAUUAAAAGAGACCAGACAUUUAUGGAAGUAAAAACUGUCUUGAAUUAGCUCUGUCCCUUUACCCACCUUGCCUUUCCCCCUGCACCAUCCUCUUCCUCACCUUCCUGCUCCCCAAGCCAGCCUGCAAUCUCCUAGAGCAGGGACAUGCAAACCAGCACAGCAGAUAACAUAGAUUCCUUAAGGUUUGAUCAGUGUGGUUUUUCUGUUUGUUUGUUUAUUAAUUGCUCUUGAGGAUGGCCCAACCUGAAGAGGUACCUGGACAGCUGCACCAUAGCCUAACAAGAAUGAGAACUGAACAUGAAAGGUUACAGAGGGAUAGAAUGUGCCAAGAAGUGAAGGAACACUGGAAAUGACAGAAAGAAAUCCAAAGACGAUAAUGAUGAUUUAGUCUGAUGUGCUGCAAGACCUGAGUGCUGUUAAAUGGGAAAAAAAAAUUGUAUUAAAAAAAGUCUUGGGAGACUAAGUGAGUACAGCUUCAUACAGAACGUGAUUCAGAGAUAAUCACAACAUGAAGGAAUGGAAAAUGUAAGCACAUUACGUGUAUUAAAAGACACAAUGAUAGCAGAGUAGCAUGGUAUGGUAAGACUGUGAAAAAAAAUAGGGAAAGCACAGGAAUGACAGUGCAAAAUCUUCUGUGAUCAAAUCAUUUUAGAGAAAUAUGGUAAAAUAAUACUAGGCUCCAUUAAAGAUCUCCACAGUUGGACUUGAAUUAAGCCAGAGGUCUUAAUGUUAGAGAAAUUCUGUCAAAAAUGUUUUCAACUUUGCAGAAGGAGAGGAAAAAAUGGCAGGAGGCAGAUGUCACGUGGCAGCAAUUACUGCAUUUCAGGGAUUCAGAACAAACAAAAGCAGGAAUAUCCCACUUCAGUCAUCCUCCCAGUACAAUCUCAUCACAGAACAUCUCUAUGAGAUAUUCUUUUUGACAGCUGUAUUAUUAAGAUAAUGCUAUAGGAGACUUGCAAUAACAUCUAAUUAUGUAGAAACAGAGAGGAAAAGAUUUGGAUCAAAUGUCCAGCCACAGAAGGAUUACAAGCCUGUAAUACCCUACAGCUGUGAAAAAUUAAACUAGGAGAGGUAUUUGAACAGUACUAGUGAGGCCUCAUCUGGAAUAACGUAUGCAGUUCUACUCAUCUGGAAUAACAUAAGCAGUUCUACCCAAGGAAAAUAAAUUCUAUCUGCAUUUGUAGUAUGUUUGAGGGAAUCACCGUUUAUUUUAAGAGGAGAUCCUUGGUUUGUAUAACCUCACAAAAUGAAAGUUGAGAAGGAUUUUAUCUAUUUUCCACUCUUCCUUAUCGUAGGGCUAACCAACAGCAAGAAGGAACUGUUAAGCUAGAGGUUGAUGUUGGCACUAGAACAAAUUAUUCAAACUGGCCAUAAAUACACUUGGGUGAGAAAUUACAGUAUUUCUAACUACUUAGUAAGCAAAAGGGAAAAAAAGGAAUAGAUGCAGCAGACUCAAAAACAAGAAGUAGUUUGGAUAAUCAAUAUACAGAAAUGAUAAUGUAAACGUGGCUGCAUGAAAAGGAUUUGAUCAACUAAGAGGCUUUUCUGUUUGCCUACAUUCUUGUUUUUCAAUUCUAUCAGUCAGGCUUUAUCCAUCUCAGGUCCAUACUUCAGUGGAUCAGUCCAUCUGCCACGUGCCCACAGUGCUGGGAAGCCAAGGAAAUGCACAGCUACCCUGACACUGAGCCUUGCUUACUGGCACUGCCAGUAGGAUCCAUCGUGAGUUACUGAGUCAUGUGAAUUAAGGAGUAAAAAAAAACCCACAAAACCAGGCUUGCCAGAUGUGCUUUUUUCACAUAUUUUGACAAUUAUGGUUGGGCUUAAUCAUUUAUGAUAAUACUUCAUAAUGCUCUAGCAAAUGCUCUGGAGUAUACUCUGUAAAAAAUAAUGAAGUCUUAAGUAACAUGGCAACUCACUCAGCUUUUAAAUUUUUGCUCAGAAGCAGAAGGAAACAGCUUGUGUUUUCUGCAGAUUAUGGAGAACUACCACAGGAAAAUUAGGAACAUUUCCAUUAUUGCUUCUCUAUCUCUUUCUUAAGCAUUAAUUGUCAUUAACUACUGUAACAUUACCAUUGUUAUGAAGCAACAAGACACCCACAAAUAAUAUCUUCACAGCACUAAAGGAAGAAAUGCUAUCAAAUAGUAAUAUGGAGUUGUACAAAAGAAACUACAGGAAAGGAAAGGACUAAUAAUUUGUGUCUAAAUAAAAGUCAGCACUCUAAUUCUCACUGAAAGCCAGCUGUCAAGUCCUGCAUAACUUAACCAUCUACUCCCUUGCUUAUUGUGGCUUUGCUCAGCAAUUCAGCUGGCUGUAAGAUAUCACAAAAAAAAAAAAAAGGCUUCCUUCACUUAAAAAAAAAAAAAAAAACCCCACGUCAUUCCAAUAGAAAUUUUCCAUCUGACUCCUUUAUCACAACUUCUGGACAGGGUUGGAUAAGCACCAAGCACAGCCACGUGAUCUGGCAGAGCUCAUUUAUGAAACACAAUGUUGAUAUGUAAGCAGUUAAGCAUCUUGUGUCAGUAACACUGACACGAUCUCAGCUUUGAAAAAUGUCAACAAUUGAACAGUGCCUGUACUUAAUUUCAAGGAAAUUAAGGAAGUCUGUGGAAUUCAAAUAAAUUUGCUAUUUCCAUACUUCCUUGUUUUGCUGAUUGGCAGCAGUUGCCACUGUAACAUAAGGUGGAAAAUAGGAACAACUUGCACAGAUCUAUCAUAUGUUUCACAUUCUGUAAGUGUUUAGGUGGGAAGGAGUUAUUGUUCCAAAGCUCAAAAAGAGGUAACAGAGUAUUCACUGCAGAUGCAAGUCUGAGGCACUCACCAUUUCAUAAAAGCAGAAUCCUUCCAAAUGUUGUGCCAAUGGAGACAGUAAACUGACAAGAAAUGUAGAUCAAUGUUCUUUAAACAUUUCAGCUUUUCUGAUAAGCAAACAUUUCAGUCUGUGUAAUAUUGUCAAACUACAGCUGCAGAGAAUUUUGAAGAGGCUCCUAUGCAUGCUUUAAAUAUUCCUAUUCCUUUCUACCAGAAAAUGUUCUCAAGAGAGCAUAACGCCAACACAGUUCUGUUCAUAUUGCAGUCAGCUCCCUGUAUCAACUCUGGGAGAGAGUAUGGGCAAAAGCUCAAUGAAAGCUUGGAAUUCGAUGUCACUGCCUGACUGAGGCACUUCACAAGUUGCACCAGAGGAAACAGGAAGAUAAUUUGCCUCUGGAUUUGUGCAUUAAAAACAUAACUGAUGUUGCAGAGAGAAAGGAUUUGGCAAAACAGGCAGAAGGCUACAGGCAUUGCACUGCCAUUAAAUUAGCAUUUAAUCUUUCCUUUACAAGACACAGCAUUUUCCUCAGAAAAAAAAAAAAAAAGAUCUUUGCAAGAUAGCAGACUCUGAGAUCUGUCAAAUAAUCAAAAAGCUGAUUUCUUGGCACAGAAAAAUCUUCCCAAGAAAUAAGACUUUUUGAAUGACACAUAGAGAAAUGACAGGAAAAUAGGGAGAACUUCUUGGUUCACAGGAAGAAAUUUUUAUGAGCUCAUGCCAGGAGGCAAAAAUAAUCUUUAAUAUUUAGAAGAUUUUAUAGAUAUGUGGAAGGAGCUAUAUAAAAUUUAGAUUCCACCAUUAAAACUGAGUCUAAAAUGUGCAAGGAAAUAAACAGAGUAAUGCACCUAAGGCAACAUACAGCCUCAGGAGCCUUAGGCCCGUGUCAUGAUUGAGGAACAGCAAUUUGUAUAUUUGGAUCUGUAUGCUGCAUGUACAAAGACUAGCACACAAAAAUUUGAAAGGCAGGGAGGUACUAUCAUCUUUGCAAAUGAUUUGUAUUUAAUAGGGUUUUUUUCUGCAUGAAUCAGUAAAGGUUUCAAAUUGCUGUCCUUCCAUUGCUCACCAUUGGGAAAAACAAAAAAUAUUCUGUAGAAAUACAUGAUAAUUCAAUAUCCACUUAAAUUAUCUUCUUUAUAACUUUACUCCUCCUUUUCAUUUUUAAGAGCUCCUACCAAGAGGCAAAAGUAAUAUUUAACCAUCUAAGGCCAGUCUGAAAACAAAUCAAGCUGACAGUUUAGAAUGCACCAUCAAUGACUAUUUACUUUCCAAUAUACACUAUUUAAUAGAUCGGUUAGGAUGAUAGAAGUCAUACUCUAUGCUUGUGAGACACCAAGUAGAGAUGUUUUCCAGAUGGCAGAAACCUCCUAUAUCUAGGUGAUAAAACACAGAAGAUGUGUAACAAUACUACUACUAAACUUGCCAGAAGCAAGAAAACAAGCUGGCUUGCAGAUCAUUUUACAAUGCCUUACCAAUAUUUUGGCAAUGGCUUUCCCAAUUAAAAAAAUUAACCUGAUAGUUCCUUCUUACUAUUUACAAUAGCCAAGAUCCACCAGAGAAACUGAAAGCAGGAAUAGCAGUAGCAUCUAGAAAACUCGACUCUCACAUCAUAUAUUAAAGAGAUUGAGAUUUUCAGGUUUCACAAGGACUUCAAGGGAAUUUAUGUUACAGCAUUUGAGCUCAUUACAACAGCUCAAAAUCGAAGAAGAUCAGAAAUGCCAAAAGAAAACAAAAGAUGUGUCUAACAUUUUCCCCAAAUUCAACUUGUGCCUAUGAUUUUACAUCGACAUAGAAAAUGAUAGUAACAACAGAGUCAAACACCUUUGCAUCAAGUUGGUUCGAAGAAGUGACAUUAAAGAUUGUGUCUGCAUAGCUUUAUGAAUAGUAAAGCCUUCAUGUUAAUAAAAAGGCUUAGCUAUGCACCCCUCCCAGCCUUAUGGAAAAACAAAUUUAAUUAAAUUGCUUUAAAGGAACCUGGUGUCCAUAAAUUUUAAUGACGUUUUAAUGUCCCUAUUUUAAUGACUUUUCACCUGACCAUCUCAUGCCUUUUGAUACACUACACAACUCUUUUGAACUUCUCCUGUUGCCUCCUCUCUGAUUGUUGGUUUUAAAGGAAACCCGAGAUUCCCCCUCAUCAUUCAGCUGAUUUAUCCUAGAGGAACAUCAAGAAUGAGUGUCUGCUCUUAACAAAUUUCCAGUUUCAAUUUUACAGUGAAAAGUAUACAUCCCUACAGAUGAGCUGUAACAAAACUAAUUUCAGAAAUCAACCUUCUGACACUUCAUGCACGUGCCUAUUAAACAUUAUUCACAUCUGAAUAGUAACAUUUCAGAGAUACGUGCAAUGAACAUCGAUGUACAACUAAAUCAACAUCAAAGGCUAUUAAUAAGGACCAUUUAGUAAGUUGAUGACUAUUGUCUAUUCACCCUGUGUAUGUAACCAGAGUUUCUUGGAAGUCUUAAUACUCAAGUAAAGCUCCAGGUUGCCAUGGAAAGCAGCAGCAGAAGGCAGCAUGGAUACCAAGGUGUAAAGUGAUAUAGGGUUAUCCAAUAGUUCAACAUAAGAAAAAAAGGCCUCUGUGGUCUUAUCUGGUAUUGAUUCACUUCUUCAUACAUCACCUCUCUCACUUUCUGGACAAAAAUAAAAUAAAAUCAAGCAAUUUACAGCACAGAAAAGAUUUUUUUGUGUGUGUGCAAGACAAUGUUUACUUCUCUCUAUAGGAUUAGGCAGGUACCUAUUUGCAGGGAACAGGGGAUAACCUGGAUUAAGUUUCUUGCUGCUUCUAGGGAGAAAUAACUUGUUUGCAAAACACUUCUGAGGCAACUGAGCCAUCCAGAAAGAUUAAAUGAAUUCGGAAAGAAGAGAAAAAUGGUGGUAAAGGAAAAUACUCAGAAAACAAAGAUACAAUCAAGAAAAAUAAUAUACUGAAAUGAACAUAUGGCAAGUACUUAUUGGCAUAUACCUGUUAAACUUCCCCUGAAGAAACAUACCACAUAACCAGAAAGUAAAACAAGAUGUGACAGAACAAUAAGAAAUACUGAAAGUAGCAUAUAUAAAAAAAAAACAGUUAUAGACACUUAGCAAGCUAUUGACAACUGUUUUCAUGAAAUGUAGCUCCUUGAUCAGCAAUAGGAAACAUUCCAAUCAAUGUGAAGUCUAUGAACUGACUAUUUAUCCACGAUAUUACAAUUCCUUAAUUUCAUCCUAGGAUGCUCAUUAUUAAAUGUUUGAGUAUUUUCCACCUAUAAAAAAAACACAGCAUAAUAACUCCUCUAACUGGAAACAGAAGGUCAUUCGACAUCUUGAGCUGGUAAACUAUGAAACAAAGACAUAUGUCCUUCAGACACUGUGGUGACAACACUGAGAUGGAACAAAUGUUUUCAGAAGGCCACUGCAGGAUGGACAAGCUGUAAGCUUGUUACGGUUAUGCAGAGAACCGUUCACAUGAUAAUACGGAAUAAAGAAGUCAAGUCCUUUAGAAAGCAUUUAUGUCACUGGAAGAACCAAAGGAUCUGUGUGCUGUGCAGGUGGCAUCAGAAACUUGCUAAAAAGAGAUAGUGCAGCCCAUUGCUUGUUCAGUACACAUCUUGUAUACUCGGAAGGUCUUUUCAUAAAAUUAAGAUCUAAAUGUUCAGAAAAAAUAUUAAUUUCUUGUGAGAAUAUCCUAAUGAGACACACAUUGAGAUCUUUGAGGAUGAAAUGGCUGCUGAAGAUUUGUCAUAUUCUCCAGGAAAGCACCUCACAUUCACAGUCAGAUGCCUGCAAGCCUAUAGCAAUGCGUCCUUCUCACUGAUUCACUAAAGGGUGAACUAUACAAAUACUAAAAAUAUUACCUUGCAUUUCUUCUAGGAUGAAAAGAUGAAAAUAACCAUUAAGCCUAUACAUAAAAAGUCAUAGCUCUUGUUUUUCUCUUGUCUGUAAUGGCCAGAAAGAUUACAGUUGUCUUUGAAUCAUGACAGCACUUUAGUAAUGGAAUGUACUCAAAGGUAAUAACAACUGACCCUCUCCCUUCCAACAGAUGGACAAACCUGUGUUACCAGAACAUCUUUGUUCUUCCAGUAGAGAGCCAAACUAGACGCAGCAGCAGACAGCACAGCAAUAGCAUGAGUAGCACUGUCUAACUUCCUCACUGCUGAUCAUCCUUGAGAAACUACUAAUUAGUUAGAAACUUUAAAUAGGCACCUUCCACUGGUUUCUUUAUGAAACCAUGUCAUUCAUCUCAUUUAAGUGGAACUCCAAGAAAUGAAUGUGUGGAGUUCAGAAUAACACCUUUUUUUUUUUUUUUUUUUUUCUUCCCCAGAAGGAUUUUUCUCAUUUUGCUGUUUUCUUUUCUUUUUUUAAUUGCCCAGAUUCACCAUUUUUGUGAUUGAACACCCCUUGGGAGGUGAAGACCACUUAGCUAUUUAUUCACACAAGCAAAGUGGCUUUGAAAAAAAUUGUGUUUUCAUUUUCAGACUUCUGACAAAUGAGAUCGACUCAUUAGUAAUUAAGAAGUAUACCUUUAAUAGCUCAUCCUUUUGGCAUGCAGAAAGACAGAGGAAAGGAAAUAGAAUAGUUCUGGAGAAUGAGUUUGUCAAAUGUGUGCGUUUUCUCACAUGAGAAAGGUGAAAUUCUCACAUAGUUUAUUUUUUCCAAUUUUCUGUCCUGCCAUCUUCAUCUGUAAUGAUUGAUCAAAUAUCUCAAAGCACUCUCAUGAGACUAACAGUUCAUGUUUGAUGACAGAAGAAUAAUUCUGGAUCUGCUACCACUUCUAGAUAGCCAUAGCACCUAGGAGUUUAUCAUCUAAACAUUACCCUUGUGACUACAAAGAGAGAUGUAGGUGCAGGUUACAUUGUCAGUAUGUUUUUGGAUAGAAAACAAGCACUUGCUUGUUUUAAUACAGUACUCGCAUUCUAAAUUUAAUUUAAAGAACUAUCUCAAAACUACACAUAAACAAGAAAAAAAACUGUUACAAGAUACCCUACCCUAUUCAUUUAUUCUAACAUCUUCUGCUACUGCCUCUGAAAUAAUACUCUUCAUUUCCAUUAUUUCCUGUCAAGAAGAAAUACAGUCACAUUUGCUUACUGGUGUUGCAGAAUUUCAUAGCCUUACUGCAAUACGGUCAGCAGUUAGCAAUACUUUUAAAGCCCCAGCUGUUUUAGGUCUAUUUCUUUUUAGAAAUCACUUAUUUCACAUCUGCAAAACAAGGUUAGUGAAGAUUUAACUCUAUAACAACACCUACACAUUUGAAAUGGAUUUCUAUAAAACAAAACAAAACAUUUAUCUUAUUAUUUGCAUUCGACAAUUCUGCAUCUAAUUUGAUUUGAAUUCAAAAUAGUUGACUUCACCUCCAGCCCUCCUCAUACUCAGCCAUAUUUUCCUAUGUCUGUAUGUCUUACAGUGUUGUUCAAUCUUCAGUGCUGGAUUUCUAUUCCCACUAAUAUUAUCCUCUAAACUUCCUAAUGAAAUGUAACAGUUGUGUUUUUACUGGCUGUAGCAAGAAUUAAAAUAUAUCAAUUUUCCCAAGGAAGAAAAGAACAAUUAGAAAAGCUUCAUUCUUAACUGGAAACAAAGGUAUUCUACUAGGCCAUAGUCAAAAAAAUUCCUUUCUCAAAGCAGUAUUAAAAAUUUAUCAAAAGAAAAUAUUUUGAAAUAAAUAAAUCUUCAACCUGUGGAGUAUAACACUCAGGAGUCCUUGCUUAAACAACAAUCUAAGUAAGCCAAGCUAAGCAUUUGCAAUAACCAAUUUCCAGUUUAUUAGCAUCUUGCAAAGAUUCAAGAUUCUGUAUCUGUAGUUUUUCACCUCACCACCUCCUGAAUUUCUCUCAGCUGUUCUCAGCUAAUAAAUACCACCUCCAAAUACUUAAAUAAAUAACGUGUAGAUUAUUUUAACCUGCGUAUUUUCAGAGCGGGACAGGUGUCCAAACGACAGAGAGGCACCCAGGUAGUCCAGCAGAGUCUAUGGCCUUUUAGCUCUCACUCUUCCACUUUCUGCUCCCUUAGAGCUACCCUGGGACUUUGCUGACCACAAUAGCUUUGGGCACUCUCACCCAGAGACUUAUUCAAUCACUCAGCCAACAAUACACCUGAUUAAGAGAAAUGGCCUUUUAAUAAUCUUCUACUCCACAAAUUCAUACCCUCACAUUAUAGGCCAGAACAACAAGAGGCAUUUCAUCAACUUCAAAAGUAUAAGUCAGGUUGAUGUUCAUUAAAAAUAUAUAUUCUGCUGUGCUUUGUGUUUGAAACCACUGUCUCUAAAAUGUGUCAACAAAUGAAAGCCAACAAAAAUUGUACAGCUGAGCUGGUUGUGAUUCCCGUGCUUACGACUGACUUCCCUGGUACACAAAUGCUUAACAAUAUAUUUUGUAGUAUUUUCUGAUAUUCCUCAUUGGGAAAAAAAAAAAAAAAAAAAAAAAAAGAACAUAAAAAAAUCCAUAAGAAAUACUAUAACUGAUGUUGUAAAUAAUAGCAUACAAUAUAUUGAGUCAGUCUGAGUUGGCACUCUGUGUUUCUAUUGGAAGAUUCAUCCAUCAUCAAAAUCUUUCCUCUCCAUAUCCCACUGAAAGCUCCUAAGAACUGCUUGGGCCUCUCACAAUUAUUACAUUUUAUAGCUUAUAAAACCUUAGUCUGCUUAGGAAGGACUAAUUAACCUCAUUUCAUUAAAAUUGUAUGCAGACCUGGCUAUACUCAAACUUGCUGAGUACCCUGAUGGCUAUUCAGCUGCAGGUCACCAUACUGAAACCUAAUUAUCUAAAAAAUGUAGAUACGCCACUCUGUGAGAUGCAUGUUCGAACUUGAAUGCUUUUUGUGAGAUCAGGUCUUCAAAAUGGUUAAAUAUAUUCAUGUCAUUACAGUGUCCAAGUUCAACCACAAGCAAUAUAAGUUUCAGCAAUAAUUUAGAAAGGACCUAUCGAACAGAAAUGAGUAAUUUAAAAAGGAUAAGGAAACAUUUAUAUUUAAUCACAAGCAGCAACUAGAAGGAGAUCUACAUCAUAAUAUUAACUCUGGCUGGGAUUACUGUUGAAAAUUUUGCCAGUAACAUACAAACAGAACACACUUUGAUUAUAGUGUUAAAUUUGUUAUUAACCACUCAAAUCUAAACUGAACAACACACUGUUUUUUAAAUGAUUAAUUAGUAUGAGGUCUGAUCCAAAAGUAAUAUCUUCUAUUUUAUUAUGUUGGCCCAUUACAUCAGAGGAAGAUGUUGGUGGUAUGGCAGUAAAGGACGAACCUUCCCACCAAUACUUCCUUAAAAUUUGUUGCUGUGAGACAGAUGGCAGCAGAGGGGCAGUCUGACAAAAAGGCACCUGACAUGGAAGUGCAGAUGAAUCAGAGGUGUGGGACUGAAUUCCUCCAUGAAGAAAAAAUAGCACUGACAUUCACUGACGCUUUUCAAACAUUUAUGGAAACCAAAGAGUGCAUGUUAGCAAAGUGAGGUGGGAGUGUAUCAUCGGUGGCUGAAAUUUCCUGAAAUCGACUUAAUUUCUUAAGGAGAUGGGCAGAAUGGGGUCAGUUGGUUCCACUUAUUUGUGUGCUUAAAGAUCAUGUACUGAGGACAUUAUCAAAAUGCAACUGAUUAGUUUGCAAUAAACUGCUGUGUUAUUGGCCUUGGAGACUUGAAAAUUUCAGAGAAAUGAUGAUGACGUUGCACACUGAACAGCAAUCACAUUCACCAAAAAACAAUCGCCUAAAAUACUAUGUGAGCACAGAAUUAUUAAAAAGCACUUUAUUAGAAACAACACUGGUUCGGCUACUCUGAGUCAGGGUUAUGAUCUGUGUGUCAGGACAAGUUGAGAGGAAUUUAUGAUGUAAAAUCACUUCCUUCAAUAAGGUCUGGAGCAUCUUAGAAGAAAAUCAUUUUCUGAUUCAGAAAAAACCCUACAUAAAUCUGGAUAAAGUAUCCCUCUGUUGCCAUAUUAGCCCAGAAAAGUGAAACCAUGUCAGUAACUUGGGAGCUGUCUCACACAGGUGCAAAAUGGAGACAUGAUUAUGAAAUAGCAAUCAGGCCAUGUCAGCUAUUGCAAUCUUUAUGAAAAUAAAAUGAGCAGGGAAGACACUGUGGAAAAAGUGAUCUACCCUGAAAUUAUUUAAAAUGUCUCACUCCUAUUCUGAAUUCCAUCAAAGGAAAUUAAAAACUUCUAAAUGCCUUCUCCAGAUUCUGAAGGAGUCAGGAAAAGAAUUCCAGAGGAAUUAUUUAUAGGAGGAAGAAAUUUUGCAUUGUAAUAAUAGCUUAAAUAAAAUAAUUCAAGUCAUAAAUGGCAACAGGAUCUUCCUGGGGAAAAGUUUGUACCUCUGGAGUACACUUCCCUUCAAAACAACAAAAACCCAGAUGUGGCACCUUCAAAGACAAUGCAUGAUCUCAGGGCAAAUGGCAAAUUUACUCAUUAUUUUCUAGUUUUUUGUUAUCUGCAUACAAAAGCUUUUCUCCAUUUUGACUUCAAAUUUCUUGUGCUUACUACAUAUUCUUCUGGCUGAUGUUUUGAGCACUUUUACUCUGAGUAAUUGUGUGCUGACAGUUUUCAUAAUCACUAAUUGCACUAGAUGACUCCUGUGAUCAGAAACAAAGCAUUUGGGAAAGAUUAAGUGAAUGAAACCAUCCUCUGAAUCAAUAAUUACGCUGAAGUCCUCUUAUGGACAGAUACAUUUUUCUUCUGCACAGAAUGAUUUAUCCAAUACUCCUUAGUUUCACUGCCAAUGCAAAAGCUUUGUUAAAUAUGAAAAUGUUGCAUUUUUUGUCCUUUCUGUAAUAGAACAUUGUUUCAGAUUUCUUAAUGUUUCUAAUAAACAACAAAUAGAGCUGGCACAUAAAAUAUUUCAUGAGUGUUCGUUCCAAACAUAUGGCUAAUGAUGAAAAUUUAUAAAAUAAAAUCAUAUAAUGGCCUGGGUUGAAAAGGACCAGAAUGAUCAUCAUUCAAGGAACUAAACUGAAAAUAGUUAAAAAAAAAAAAAGACAAACAAAACUUUUGAAACAAUUCAAAAUUCAAUUAGGAUAGAUUGCAAGGUUGUUGACUUGCUAAAUAGUGCUCUCCUGGCCACAGAAAUGUUUAUAAAAUUAUUGGGAUAGCAAAUGAAAUUCAUAGAAAAAAUCUGAAAAGUUAUUAGCUUUUAAUGUAUAAAUUGGAGACAUCAGAAGAAUCCCUUAAAGAGACAUUUCCAGCAGAACAGAAAAACUACAAACCUAAUCAGCCGGAGCCUUCAUUAUAAUGUCCCAAUUCCAAGCUAUUCUCACGUAGUAUUGCUGUGCACACUACGGAGUAAAAGUUCUGCUUUAAAAAUCCUGCCGCUCUUAAUUCAGUUCCUAGACUCAGCUACCUGGGGAUUCGUGGCCACAGAUACCUGUUGAAAUUUUUGUUUUGGUGUUCCCCAGCCUCUAAUAUAGGGGUUCAAGAUUAACCUUCUCAUUGCUGUUCCACAAACAGAACAAUGUAAAUGAAAGAACUAUUAGAAAUACAGGUAUUUUAUCACAUAUUCAAUGUUCUUUCAGAUUUAACUGGCUACACAGCAACAGACAGAUGCUCCCAAACGUGACCUUGAGUCACUAAUGACAAUAAAGAAAUAUGGCUAUUUUUUUUUUGUCUCAUGCUUAACAUGGGCUACUACAAUAUUUAUCAAUUAUGUCCUGUACCAAGUGAUAGAGAAUACUUUACUUCAGACAAUUUGCUUUGUUUAAUAGUGGUCACAAACUGUGAAGAGAAACCUGAUGAAGAGGUGAGAACUUUCAGAGAACCUGUAGCAAAGGAGUAGGAACCAAAUUUUUUGAUAAACCGUGAGAAUCCACCUUAAGGAAAAAGAAAUACAAACUAAUUACUUAAACUGCACAUGCUAACAGACUGAACAAUGGGGAAAUCCAAGUAGAACAGAAAAGCAGCACUGAGAACAAAUUCCAUGAACAGUACAGCAUAACUGCUGUCAAAGCCAAUGUCUUGGGGAGCAGUUAUCUCCACUAACUCCAACAAUGCAAUUUCCUUAGCUUAAAAGGAAAAAAUAUUCACUGCCAUUUGAUCCAUACAACCUAAUGAGAGCUAAGAAGUGAAUGUUGGCACACAAUGCUAAAAGUUUUAUUAAAUUACAAACAGAAUAAAUUAUUUCUUAAGAAAGAAAUGUGACCUCAAUUUUCCUUUGAAAGGAGUGUUCUAGUCCUUGUAUAUACGUGAUGACUUAUAUCCUCUUACACUUUUAUCAAAUGUAAAAGCCAAGGGUCUUGCUAACAAAUCAUAAGGAAUUGAUACUUAACAAAAUGUUAUUUCUAAGCUGCCAGUGUCAUUGCCUUACACAACAGCAGCUAUAAAAGAAACUUUGCAGCACAGCAAAAUCGAGGUAGAUCUGCUGAGGGACAAAGUUAGUACUGAGGGCCCAAUGGCCACAAUAACUAUAUUGGUGGAAACAGACCUAUUCAGUACUAGGAGCAGUCUGCUUCCUGGGACAGCACCAGAUCACUACUGGCACCAGUAUGUGCUCUCCUGGAAGGCAUUUACUCAGUUGGCAUGUUCAAAGACUGCUCCAUGAGGCAUACGAAAAUGUAAUUACCUGGAGGCAACCAGGACAAUUACUUCACAUACACACUCCUGAUCCAAAUCAAAAUGCUAAUCUAAACUCACUCAUUGUAACAUGCAGAACUAGAGACAUCCACACAUUUCAGUAGCUGUAGUAUUAAUGGUCUGGAAUGCAAAAAUGAGAGCUAAUUGUAAAUAACUUUCUCCUAUCUAAUCAUUAGCGAGUUUCAUAUCCUUAAGACCUGUGUACUUAAUAAUUAUUCAAGUGUCACUAAACAUAAUAAAUGCAAGUAAUACAUUUAUUAUUUACCAAAAAAAAAAAAAAAGAUUUAAAUAUAUACACAUAAUGAAUUGCUUCUCCUAAGUAUAAAAAAAAUACGUUACAAGUUUCCACACAUAUUCAACAGCUAAAAGGUUCCAUUUGGGCACCAUACCUCCUGCAAAUAAAUAAGUGAACAAUUUCCAAGGAGUUUCUGUUAUACGGAACUCUUCUACAGAUCUGGCCAUGACCGCAAUUACCAUGUUCUUCUGACAUGUUUAGCUUCAGCCAUCUAACCUAACAGCUUCUUCUGUAGAAGCCUAGGAAUUACACCAGAUAUAGGAGAAGAUAAUGAAAACAAAAAUUAAGUCAAAACCUUUCAGAGAAUUAUGUUGAGACAGACAAGAAUUUAUAAGCAAAUCACUAGAAAUGAUUAAAUGAUGGAGCUUGACUUUAAAUGCUGUGAAAUGACUUCAGUACUGGAGGAACUUCAUUACUUUUGCAGCUUGCAUAUAAUGGAUUUUUUGGAGUAUAAUUUCCUCCCCUGAAAAGCUUUGAGAUAUUAAAAUAUGUUUGAUUAACUAGUCAAGAAGCAAAGUAAACAACUGUAAUUUUGGUAUACUAGUAUCCAAAUAACUCAGGAGAAUAUCUGUGAGCACAAUGAAAACUAAACAGAGCCAGAAAUGCCUUGUAAAUAUUACAGUAGUUGCUUCUGCCAAAAUAUUGCCAGCCAGCACAGAUUACAGUGCCAUAAUUACAGUAGAUGACAUAAAAUGAUUAUAAAUUAACAGUCUGUAGUAUGAAGUUAAACAUUAUAUAUUUUUACUAGGUACCUGCACAAAAUAUGAACAAAGGACUGUGAAAUAUUGUAAAAGAGAAAUCACCAGGGAACCUGUUUCUGUUUUAACUCAAGCUCAAUAUUUUUCCAUGAAGCUUCUCACAUUUUUCUAGAGUCCUUUCCCAGUCAAGUAGUAAUUUAAAAAUGUUUCAAAAAAUAUCUAAAUCUCUUAAUUUUUACCAAAAAGUUCCAGAAAAUAGGAAGGCAAUACAUACAACGUACUCAACUAUCUGUGAUUUAGUCCUUUGCUAAAUCAAAAGCCUACAAAACGUACUCAUGCUGAUAUGACAGGAGUUCCUAAUAAAUGAGGAAAUAUGGAAUCUGGUUUCUAUGCUGCCUAUUCAAAAAACACCUGAAUUUCUGUGUUGUUAUUGCUCACUUUCAGAUCCUUCUCAUCUCCAAUUCUGGGGAAACUGGAUAGGGUUUCCCUUUCCUUGAGAUGAAAGUUUCUAGGAUGUGUUUUAGGAACCAAGCCUAAGAUUUACAUGAUUUCCUCUGCCUACACUGCUCAGUAUUUUUGAAACUGGCACAAUUAUUACUUGUCAUUUAACUUCCCUGAACCAAAUCAGAAAAUUUACAUCUGCAAAACGUCAAGAAGAAAGGGGAAGCAGAAACAAUCCACACUAAAUCAGAGGGUGGUUUCUGUGUGAUAGUUCAGUGAUGAUAGGUGAGGUACAGGAAACAAUCUUAUGCAAUGAUCACCAAAAACUUGAGAAGUUGAUGUGAUACUAAGUUCUAUGGAUGCAAAAAAACGUUACUACUUUCUUUUAAUGAGAUCUUUCUUAGUAUUUGAUUUAUUUUCUAAUGACAGUAUAAAGCACAUUGACACCUUUUUGUUUCCACAUCAUCACAAGUUCUCUGAAGGCUUACAUUUAAAUCUCUCUGCUAUAAUCACAGUGGUUUCAAAUUAGCAUCUUAAUGAAUUCUCCAUGGACUUGUGUCCUUAUGCGUUUUCCCUUUUCUAAUCUCAUAUCAUAAUGGUGCCAUAACUGGGUCCCUUCUGAUUCGAGCUGAAAUCAUUAUGGAACAGUUAACAGCAAAGAUACACUAGAUUAAACAGAAGAGAAAUUCAGUAGCAUUGUAAAAGAGCAGAUUAUGAUUUCUGACUUUUUUAAAGCAUUCUCAAAGAAGUCAGUCUCUGUGCACAAAAGGUACCUGGUAGUCUGAAAAAUUCUUAAUAUGGAAAAUAUUCAGCUAGAAAUUUUUGAAUUCAUUUAGUACAGAACUACACUAACUGUUAACAAAACCACCCUUUAAAAGUCAAAUAAAUGAAAAACUGCAACUUAGAGCCCAACCUGGUGAUGCACACAAUUGUAUCAUGGAAAUUUAGAGGAGAAUGACAAAAGGAAACAACAAAACAUUAAAUGAUAUUUUUGUAGCUGAUGUCUAAUUGGAGACACAGAGAUAUUUGGUAUCUACAUCAGAGUUGCUGAACACCGGUACUUAUUUAUUUCCUUGAAAGGUAGCUGUAAGCAGCAGAACUCUGAAAAAGCUCCCCUAUCUUUAGAAAGUCAACUCUACGCUGGCCUUAGUUCAAACCUAAAUGAACAUAUCUGCUUCUCCAAAUUAUACAGAAUAUUCGGAAUGAAUGGAAAAAACUAAUUCACUUAAAAUAUAUUGAAUGGAGAAAAGACACUUAGAAUUGUACAUCUCUUCAGAGGAUCAGGAUGACUAAAUCAUUGAUGUCAGUAAUAUGCUAGGCCAUAAACUGUUGUGCUAAAUAAGAUGCAGGUAAAGCUCUGUAAUGGUAAGAAACUGUCAUCUCUCUAAAGCUCCAUCUUACCGCAAAAUAUUUUUUAGCAUUGGUAACUAUUUGCAAAUACCAGAGUGAACUGUACUCUAAGGACAAACCAGCUAGAAAGGUCUGCCCAAAAUAACAUACCAACUGAACUGAACCAAGUGCAGGGAUGGAAUUGCAGAGCUUGUAACUUCCAAUAAGGAGUGCACAACUGUCAAAUGCAAAUUGCUGGAGAUAAGAUUCAUUCUGUCUCUGGGGAGAAAAUAUACUUCUUUCAGUCUUCAGUUUUGAUUCUCAUUUGAAAUAGCUGUUCAUUUUUGCUUCCCAGUAUAGAUACGUCACAGAGAGAACUGGAGAGAAGCUGUAUAUUUUCCCUAUAACAAAGCAAAAUAUGGAGAGGAAUUCCAGGAGAACCAACAAAGUCAUUUGCAUGGAAAGUAGGAAGACUAGUGAAAAAAUAAUUGUGAAAAGACCUCUGCACAGCCACAAUUUCAAAAGACAGUAUUUUUUUUGCCUUAAUUUACACCGUAGAAUCUAAAUUUGGCGCUUGAAGUACCUUCAGCAACUUCUAAUGCAGAUUCACUCCUAAAUUUUAGGAGACAGAAAAUGAUGUUUUAUCACAGAUUAGUUGGUAGUUUCCCAUCUCCUGUUUUAAAGUCUGUCAAUCUGACCGUUUUUUUAUUAAUUUAUUCAGUAGCUAUGGUGACAGUUCAUCUCUGUCAAUCAGCAGCAAAGGUCUAAGCCAUACCUCUCUGAAAACAAUUCCAGAAAUACAAUGUUCUGUAGAUAAAACAAUUAUGAGACUGGAUUAACAUUAACAAAAUUAAUAUGUAUUCUCACAGUGAGAUUAUGCUCAUCUCCCUAUGACAUUUAUUUUUGCCAUCGCACAAGUGCACACAGUAAGAAAAUGAAACCAUCUGCACUGAGCAUUAGGAUCACACUACCCAAACCCAAGGAGAGAAGACUGAUGCUGGGAAAACAGGACAAAACAGAUGAAAUUUUAAAUGAUUUUUUCCUCUACUAAUAUUUCAUGUAAGUACAUAAUAAUGGAAUGCCUGUAACUUUUACAAAAGGGUGGGAUAGGAUUACAAAACUAGAUUAGUGCAAAUUCUAGUUAAAAAUCUUUUCAUGUCAUGUACUAAAAGUCUCCAUUUCAGAGUGAGCCUGAACUGAUGGUUCUAUGCUUAUUUCUAGAGAAACUGGUAGCCCCACUAAAGGCAGAGCUUCAGUCUGAAAGUUACAUCCUCAUGGUGUGGAUUCAAAAGUCGCUCUUCUUCCUGACACCUCAUGUCAAUAGAAUACUAUCCAUUCUUCUUACUCCAUUAUUUUAGACAGGGACAAGGUACAUACAUUUAAGUUUGCCAUUUUAAUAUUCCCUCAACAUAAGCUCCUUCACAAGCAAACUUUUAUUUCUUUACUUAUUCUGAAACUGUAUGUUCAGAUGAUACUGUGAUCAUUAAUUCCUACACGUCUUUUUUCUUUUUUUUAUUAGGCUGGUCUCCUUCACAGGAUUAGUUCCCAAAUAGCCUCUGACUACAUGAAUUGCUCCACAAAUUGUCUCACAGAGCCAUACAGUGUUAUCAUCAAAAAAUAUAUAUUUAAUAAUACAGCUAUCACAAUCAAAAUCUCGAGAAUUAAAAUCCUCCAUGAUCAAAGUUCUGGCUCUCUUGCAGACUUUUUUUCUUUUAAAUCAGCAAUACAUGUUGUUAUCUGCUUUUCUUAACUGCCCUCAAGGGUUACAAUAACUGGAUUAUUUUAUUGUUCUUAUCUAUUAAAGCUUUCCAGUGUACCAGACAAAAUACUUAACUAGCUCUCUGUUGGCAGCCCAAUACCAUCUCGCAUCGAUUGAACCAAAAGAUUCCUUUGCCUUAUCUUGUUCAGUGUAGACCAGAUUUCCUGCUGCUCACUGCUAAAAAUAUUUAGUGAUUUUACUUCCCAAGGAAGCUCUGAUUUCUGUUCAGUAGACUGUACUGGGUAUGGUCUAGGGAAAUUUUUUUUCUAUGUUUGUUGUUUUUAUCCUUUGUCUUCCAAUUCCCAUUCGUUCUGACAAGUUAAGUAUUAUUGGGACCUACAGUUGGACUCUCUCUUCCUUCACCUCCUCUUUCUUUUCGCAUCUAGCCUAGAAGUGUUUGCUGCCUACUUUAAAUAAAUAGUUAAUGUACAUUCUCCUCACAGGUCUCCUAAGCAUCUUUGAACAGCAGUUCUACCAGUGUCACUGUUCCACAUGCAUGCAAAAUCACUCAGAAAUCUGACUGUAAACCUGUAUUAGCAGCAGUUCCUAUCACAGCAGGAACAUCUUCACGCUGUGUUACCAGAGAAAGAACUAAGGAUAAAGACAGAUACGAAGCUAAUAUGUCUGAGAAGGUGAUAAAGCACUGCAAGGCAGCUCUAUUAAUAACUGCAUAUAUCUGAGUCAGAUAGAGGGAAAUAAGAGGGCCACAACUGUUACAGGAUACAUCCAACCUUUUUUCCCCUUACCUAACAAAUGAAGGAAUUACUAUGCCAUGAACUGACACAAUACGAAUAGGGGUAUUUCCUACUGAUACUUCAGUUGAGAACACUUUUCAUUAUCACCAACUUUAACAUACCAGCAAAAGAUCAACUCACUAUAAUUCUGAGUACUUUGGUCAUUAUAAACAAUAUACUGUUGCAAUAUACUUCAAUGGUAGGGACAAAAAACCUUGUACAUUCAAAGUGCAAUAUUUUCUAAAAAAGAUAUCAGAUGGCUGAUGAGAUUUGGGGUUGUUCUGAAGAAAAUGCUGUGCUGGAAAAUCCAAGACUAAAAGCUAAUGAUGAAUUUGUAAAGCACUCAAGAUCACCUACACAACACGGAAGAAGCCAAGAAAGGACAGAUAACAGAGCAAUUCUCAACUGACAGUUCGAAGAAUCAAUUUUUGUUUUUAUCUCACUUGCUAUGAAAUUAAUGAGGUUUUCAUAGUAUAGUAGUGCAAAGACCUACCAUCUGUGUAAAUUCCUGAACUCACUGAAUUUUCCUUUGUCUGGCACCUUCUGUACUGCCCAGCAGUGUUCCCACUUUGUUUAUACAUUUGACAGUCUAAGCGUAUUUUCUUUUCCAGGGCAGGCAGCCCUCAGUUCUAGCUGUCUACAUUGUGAAGCUGACUCCACACAAAUCAACACAUGCUUUAAACUUGUCCUCAUAGUGUCUCAGUUGUGUACUGAUCUCUCAUCUAUUCACCAUGAUUUACAACAAAACAAAGGGGUGUGGGGAGGAACAACAGGAGACACAGAUUCUAGCACUUUGCAGUAUACAUAUUCCAUAACAACUGAAACAGAUAACUUUACGGGCGUACCACUACAAUACUAUUUAACCAUACUCUUGAAUUUCAGUUUUUGAAAUCAACUUAUGCAAAUAUAUAAAUAUUUAAGGCCAGGAAAUAUGGAAAGGGAUGUAAUAAUACUCCAGUCAAAAUGCUGCAACUACACAGAGAAGCUGUAACAACAGAUUGCUUUGUAGAAAUUUACUUCUGUUUGAAGUUCAUUGAUUUUCAUUCCAGCCGUUUAUUUUGCUAAGCAGUAGUUUUGAGCACCUAUUGAUCAUCAUGUUCUGAUGUGGCAGGCUUCUGAGAAAAAAAGUUAAACUAACUAGAACUAAUGAGCAAUUAAACUUGCUCACACAAGUACAGUUGUGGUUUAAUGGUGGCAAGCACAUGACAUGAAGAACAAUGUGUCCAUUUUCUCA